AACUUCUGCCCUUCGUAUAUGCAGCACAUGAAUAGCGCCACCAAUGUGCACCAGAAUUUGCAGGGUGCUGUCAUACCGAGCUCUAGUUCAGUUGGCAUGCGAAUUCAAUAUCCUUUCUUCUUGUUUAGCUGUCUCAUCUUCUGGAUCUUGAUAUUUCAUAAUCAUCCUUUUCUCUUUGUUUCUGCCGCUUUGUUGUUUUAGCGAUCUGAGUCUGACUGUUGACUUGAAAGUGUGAACUUUGAUGUUGGGCAAAUAUUUUAUGGGCUCUGUGCUUACACAGAUACAAUCUAGUUGAACAAAGUUAUCUUCGGGGACGCUGAACGGGCAAUAUUUACAUGCUGAAGCUCCCUUUGGAAUUUGUGAUUCAUAGGGCUUUUCGGAAGUGGAGAACUCUCAGUUUUUGAAAUAUCAUUAUGAUUGCUGCUAACCGAGAGACACCUGACUAGCAUUUUAUUCAUGAUGUUGGCUUGUUCUUCCUUUGCAAAUGUUGUGGCCAACCUCUUAAAAUUUUUUCCAUUGUUCUUUUUCUUUCCUAACAUCCAAAAUGGAAAGAGAAAAUGAUGAUAGUGCUUUGUGUCUCCACGUGACAUUUGAGAAAGGUCUAUGCUUCUUUAAAAGCUUACACUUUACCUGUAGCCUUUUUCCUAAUACAUAAAACCACGAUCUAUGUGAGAAGUAGAGAUGAUAAUUUAUGCUACAAAGGCGUGAUAGGGCUCAUGCAAAGUACUCCUUUAGGAGUUUGAGUUUUAUAAAUUUCUAACCUGUCCCUGAUUUUAAAAAAAAAUCUAAUCUGUUCUAACAUUCUUUGGAUGACCAUGUUUUCUCCUUAAUAUUCAGCUACAUAGUCAAAGAAUCCAUUUGGGAAACGGAAGGACUUUGGCCACCCAGCUGUUGCCUCCAACGCAAAUGGAGGUCCUCCACCUCUGACCUGCCAGUAGCUUCAGGGAUGUAUUCUGUUCUCUAUGCUCUGCUAAAUACAAAUGCAUCAUGCAGCUGUUGCAUGCAUCCUUGCUAUCAUCAAGUCAUGGGCAUUGUCAUCUUGACAUGAACAUCUUUUUGGACCAUAUCAUAGUUUAUCCUAGACAUGCAUUUGAAGCACUGUCAUCUCAACAUUGUCGGCUUAUUCUGGGUUCACAUUUGUGAUUUCAUAGGAUGCAUUUAAUUUCUGGUCUUACAUCGUGUUGGUCUGUGGUGUCACAUUGUAUUCUACAUUUGAGAAUUUCUUUAUUUGGUACUAACAUAUGUUUUAAACCUCAAAUGACUUGCUAUCACCUCUAUCAAUGUAUUAUGUAUGUAGUGAAAUAGAAUCUGCAUCAUAAAUUGUGAUCAUCCAUCUCAACUCUCUCUGGUUAGGGUUGUCAGUCACUCCAUUAACCUCUUUAACUUAAAACUGAUGAUAACACUGUAACAUCCAGGUUUUCAGAUCCUGGAAAUUCCACUGUGCUUGUGUUAUGCAGGAUAUGUGCUAAAAGAGGGGACUUCCUCUUACUUGGGAAUGGCCAAUUGCUGGAGUUGCUUUGUCCAGCUGACUUCAAUAGUCCAACUGCAAUCAAACGUUUGGACUCCUUGAGUUUCAUGGUUGGCUUUGGUUGGAUAUAUGAUGUGUUACAAUUUAGAGUGAGCGACUUUGAAGAGCAAUAGUUAAAGGAUUUUGUAGGAUCAGAAAAUCCGGAAGAUUCUAAAUCAGCCAGUAUUUGUUCUUUUAUUUAAUUUAGAGGUUAUAACCAUGUAACUUGAUUUCAUUGGUUAAAACUUCGGAAUGGUGCAUUGCCUAAGUUUUAUCAAUGGACUGUUUGGUUGGAGGGACUGAAAAGAUGAUCUCCGAAUGAUUA